GACGAACGCUGGCGGCGUGCUUAACACAUGCAAGUCGAACGGAAAGGCCCUGCUUUUGUGGGGUGCUCGAGUGGCGAACGGGUGAGUAACACGUGAGUAACCUGCCCUUGACUUUGGGAUAACUUCAGGAAACUGGGGCUAAUACCGGAUAGGAGCUCCUGCUGCAUGGUGGGGGUUGGAAAGUUUCGGCGGUUGGGGAUGGACUCGCGGCUUAUCAGCUUGUUGGUGGGGUAGUGGCUUACCAGGGCUUUGACGGGUAGCCGGCCUGAGAGGGUGACCGGCCACAUUGGGACUGAGAUACGGCCCAGACUCCUACGGGAGGCAACAGUGGGGAAUAUUGCACAAUGGGCGGAAGCCUGAUGCAGCAACGCCGCGUGCGGGAUGACGGCCUUCGGGUUGUAAACCGCUUUCGCCUGUGACGAAGCGUGAGUGACGGUAAUGGGUAAAGAAGCACCGGCUAACUACGUG
rnacentral:rRNA from 1 species